UUGAAAGGGAAACGAUUGAAGUCAAUCGUACCGACGAGAAAUCAACUUAUCGUGUGCGAACUUGUGGGCGUGCGUGAGUUUCGGCCUCGCUGUUUGCAUGUUUGUGCGUUUUGGGUGUACUUUUUCGUAUGGUAGGCCAACGUCAGUUUCGAUUAUCAUAAAAUGACCGGCGGAAUGUAGCUUCGAUUUCGGUUGAAGUGUUAUAGCCUCUGGUAGAUGUGGUGAUUGAGACUGAGGAUUGCAACGAAUACCCUUUGGGCUAUCCGUCUGGCCUCUGAAAGUUGCUCAGGUGCCGAAAGCGUGCUUACGGUCAUCUAAGAUAACGUACAACAGGUUAGAACGUGAUUACAUUCGUUAAGGAUGUUGACGUA
rnacentral:rRNA from 1 species